AGCCUGAAACAGGAGCCUGGUGAGGACUGACUCCCAGCCAAGACAUGAUUUCUGACGGGCCGGAGCUAGUAUAAGCUGAGACGUUGCAGCUUGCUUCACUGCUUGUUCGCGCUCUCGUGCACAUACAGUAUCGCGCCACGCUGACCUAGGACCCUAGCCUUAGCGAUCGCGCUGUGUGCAGCAAUAGCAUAGCAAACAGAUUGCAAGCCGUGCGAAACAAGCUACUCUAGUAUUUGUACACCGGCGAUGUACCCGCUCAACCUGCCAAACUGCGCGCUAGUUUAUCUGUGCAAGGAUAAAACAACAACAAGAGCAGCAAACCGCGUCAUUGCUUGCUGCUACUACCUUGUGUCAGAGUCUAGCGCGCGGCAGAACUUAACGCUUUCGUGCUAUGUCACCGCAUCGCCAUAGCGCUCUAUACGAUGGUGCCAUGCUCUCCAUGCGCUAGCAGCACAGGCUCAUUAGUGAACACUUGCUGCAGUCUAGCGGUGCAUGCGGCCGGCUCCCAAAGACGAUUAGAGCGAAAGUACUCGAGCAGGGGCUUUUUAGAGGCUCCGCGCUCAACAUCAAUUGCUCGGUCUUACGUGCGUGUUCGUUGCACACAUGCCUGCUGCCACGUAGUUAGGCGCAAUACACGCAGAGACGGGAGAGCCAACGCUCCCUCCAUCGUCUCUGUUACGUGAAUGCGCGCUAUUUAUACGAUCAGCUGGGCGGCAUGAUCGCACGCUCGAACAAAAAGAGAGC
rnacentral:rRNA from 1 species